rnacentral:tRNA from 1 species
GAGGGUAUAGCUCAGUAGUAGAGCAUGUGCUUAGCAUGCACAAGGUCUUGGGUUCAAUCCCCAGUGCCCCUA